rnacentral:lncRNA from 1 species
GCUUGUAGUAUAAAUGCACACUCUUAGGGUGACCUAAGCAGCUUUAAAUUAGAGGUAACCCCACCCACUGCAGGCCUCAUUGAGAAAGUAUUCAUUAGAAAUAAUAAACAGGAUCCACUGUGUAUUUGAAGUUAGAAACUUUGCCCCCAGGAAGAUAAAUUUUUUUCUCAAAAAUGUUACUGGCUAAGUGGUUAACUAACCACUAAGGAUACAUUUUCAGAGCAGAGGUAAAUAGAUUAUAAUGUUGCAGUAUGUAUCAAUGGAGUCCCGACUGUAGUAGGAAGAAGCUGUAUUUCUUAUUUUCCGUCUCCUAACACCGGAGAAGAGUGCCAGACUUAAUAGCAGAUGUGAAAGGUCACUCAUACUUUUUUAUUGUAAUUUUUUGCCUAGGAAGAAAAAGUUGCAGCCGAAAGAAAUAUUAGAACUGACAGAAAUACAUUUAGUAAGGUAUUUCCUGUAUAAGAUAGGAAUUAACAAAUAUAUGGGAGAAAACAGAUUCCAGGAAUGUAGUUAAAUAUUACUCCUUUUGGAAGGAGUAAUAUUUAAAUAGCCUGGAAAAUAUUUGAGCUUGAAUACAGCAUUGCAGUUUCUUGUAGAGACGCAGCUUAAUUUAAAAACUAUUAAAUAAUAGAUCUUGCAGGGAAAGAAUUUGAUAUGUCUUUUAUACCGACUGCAUGCUUUAGAAGUAUUUUCAGUGACUUUUUUUAGAAGUCUUACAUGGGGCUGGG